rnacentral:rRNA from 1 species
UACGUAGGGUGCAAGCGUUAAUCGGAAUUACUGGGCGUAAAGCGCGCGCAGGCGGUCUCUUAAGUCUGAUGUGAAAGCCCCCGGCUUAACCGGGGAGGGUCAUUGGAAACUGGGAGACUUAAGUGCAGAAGAGGAAAGUGGAAUUCCAUGUGUAGCGGUGAAAUGCGUAGAGAUAUGGAGGAACACCAGUGGCGAAGGCGACUUUCUGGUCUGUUACUGACGCUGAGGCGCGAGAGCUGGGGGAGCGAACAGG